GUAACGGCGAGUGAAGCGGCAACAGCUCAAAUUUGAAAUCUGGCCCCCAGGCCCGAGUUGUAAUUUGUAGAGGAUGCUUCUGGCGACGCGCCUUCCGAGUUCCCUGGAACGGGACGCCAAAGAGGGUGAGAGCCCCGUCCGGUCGUGCGCCUAGCCUCUGUGAAGCUCCUUCGACGAGUCGAGUAGUUUGGGAAUGCUGCUCUAAAUGGGAGGUAUACGUCUUCUAAAGCUAAAUACCGGCCAGAGACCGAUAGCGCACAAGUAGAGUGAUCGAAAGAUGAAAAGCACUUUGAAAAGAGGGUUAAAUAGUACGUGAAAUUGCUGAAAGGGAAGCGCUUAUGACCAGACUUGGGCUUGGUGAAUCAUCCGGCGUUCUCGCCGGUGCACUUUGCCGGUCCAGGCCAGCAUCAGUUCGCUUCGGGGGAUAAAGGCUUCGGGAACGUAGCUCCUCCGGGAGUGUUAUAGACCGUUGCGUAAUACCCUGGGGUGGACUGAGGUACGCGUUCUGCAAGGAUGCUGGCGUAAUGGUCAUCAGUGACCCGUCUUGAAACACGGACCAAGGAGUCGUCUUCGUAUGCGAGUGUUCGGGUGUCAAACCCCUACGCGUAAUGAAAGUGAACGUAGGAGAGAGCUUCGGCGCAUCUCCGACCGAUCCUGAUGUUCUCGGAUGGAUUUGAGUAAGAGCAUACGGGGCCGGACCCGAAAGAAGGUGAACUAUGCCUGUAUAGGGUGAAGCCAGAGGAAACUCUGGUGGAGGCUCGCAGCGGUUCUGACGUGCAAAUCGAUCGUCAAAUAUGGGCAUGGGGGCGAAAGACUAAUCG
rnacentral:rRNA from 1 species